GCACUGCCAAAGAGUCCCACAAUAGGACGAAACGGCCGUCCAGUGC
rfam:Schistosoma rodhaini strain Burundi genome assembly, scaffold: SROB_scaffold0004842